rnacentral:rRNA from 1 species
UACAGAGGGGGCAAGCGUUAUUCGGAAUUAUUGGGCGUAAAGGGCGCGUAGGCGGCUUGGCAAGUGAAGGUGAAAUCCCUCGGCUUAACCGAGGAACUGCCCUCCAAACUGCUUCGCUUGAGACCGGGAGAGGUGAGUGGAAUUCCCAGUGUAGCGGUGAAAUGCGUAGAUAUUGGGAGGAACACCAGUGGCGAAGGCGGCUCACUGGACCGGUACUGACGCUGAUGCGCGAAAGCCUGGGGAGCAAACGGG